rnacentral:rRNA from 1 species
GAAGUAAAAGUCGUAACAAGGUUUCCGUAGGUGNACCUGCGGNAGGAUCAUUAUUGAAAUAAACCUGAUGGGUUGUUGCUGGUUCUCUAGGGAGCAUGUGCACACCUUGUCAUCUUUAUAUCUCCACCUGUGCACUUUUUGUAGACCUUUCAGGUCUAUGUUGCUUCAUUUACCCCAAUGUAUGUUAAUAGAAUGUUGUGCCUAUAUAAUAUAUACAACUUUCAGCAACGGAUCUCUUGGCUCUCGCAUCGAUGAAGAACGCAGCGAAAUGCGAUAAGUAAUGUGAAUUGCAGAAUUCAGUGAAUCAUCGAAUCUUUGAACGCACCUUGCGCUCCUUGGUAUUCCGAGGAGCAUGCCUGUUUGAGUGUCAUUAAUAUAUCAACCUUCUCUUUUUUGAGUUGUUUGGAUGUGGGGGUUUGCUGGCCUCUUAAAUGAUUCAGCUCCCCUGAAAUGCAUUAGCAGAACAACCUGUUCAUUGGCGUGAUAAUUAUCUAUGCUAUUGAAUGUGAGGGCAGUUCAGCUUUCUAACCGUCCUCGGACAAUUCAUCAUUAAUGUGACCUCAAAUCAGGUAGGACUACCCGCUGAACUUAAGCAU